rnacentral:rRNA from 1 species
UACGAAGGGGGCUAGCGUUGCUCGGAAUCACUGGGCGUAAAGCGCACGUAGGCGGAUUGCUAAGUCAGGGGUGAAAUCCUGGAGCUCAACUCCAGAACUGCCUUUGAUACUGGCGAUCUCGAGUCCGGGAGAGGUGAGUGGAACUGCGAGUGUAGAGGUGAAAUUCGUAGAUAUUCGCAAGAACACCAGCGGCGAAGGCGGCUUUCUGGACGAUAACUGACGCUGAGACGCGAAAGCGUGGGGAGCAAACAGG